rnacentral:rRNA from 1 species
GACGAACGCUGGCGGCGUGCUUAACACAUGCAAGUCGAACGGAAAGGCCCUGCUUUUGUGGGGUGCUCGAGUGGCGAACGGGUGAGUAACACGUGAGUAACCUGCCCUUGACUUUGGGAUAACUUCAGGAAACUGGGGCUAAUACCGGGUAGGAGCUCCUGCUGCAUGGUGGGGGUUGGAAAGUUUCGGCGGUUGGGGAUGGACUCGCGGCUUAUCAGCUUGUUGGUGGGGUAGUGGCUUACCAAGGCUUUGACGGGUAGCCGGCCUGAGAGGGUGACCGGCCACAUUGGGACUGAGAUACGGCCCAGACUCCUACGGGAGGCAGCAGUGGGGAAUAUUGCACAAUGGGCGGAAGCCUGAUGCAGCAACGCCGCGUGCGGGAUGACAGCCUUCGGGUUGUAAACCGCUUUCGCCUGUGACGAAGCGUGAGUGACGGUAAUGGGUAAAGAAGCACCGGCUAACUACGUG